CAUGUUGACGAAUUUUAUACUCAUGAAAGUAAAGUUAUGAUAUCAAUGUAUGAUAUGAAUGAUAUGGCCAUUCCGGUACAAUGAAAUGAAAUGAAAUGUUAUGAUGUGAGCUCUUACCGGAUUUUAAAGUUAUGCGACGGUAUGAUAUUCUGACACAUGUUUUGAAAUUAUUAUUCGGGAUUGCACCAUUAAAAUCUGAUAUCCUUCUGAGUAUUCCCAUGUACUCACCCUUUUCCUACACCAUACAGGUUAGAUCGGGUCGUGUCGGAGCGUGAUGGUUCGAUGGUGUGGUUGUGCUUGCUUUUGCUGAUGAAAAUCUAGAUUUCAACAAAUUGUAAGGAAGAUUCGGACUUCAUAGAUUCCGACCACGACUUUGAGUCUGAACAAGACGACGUGCUAAGCUGUUGACAUCGGCAAACACAUAUCCCUCGGGGAAUACCCCACAUCCACAAUAAAUUACGUAUUUCUGACUUUGGUGAUUUUUUUUUUUAGGAAAUGAAAACUGAGUGGAACUUAUACUGUUAUUGACGUUUUGGAUGGCCAUUUUGCUGAUGAUGACAAAUCCCUGGAAAUGGCAUUUCUUCAUCUACAUCAGGAGUCUGACAAAGAAAAGUGUUGAAUAAAGGUCAUUUUGUGCCUAAAUCAGCUAUCUCUGUUAGAAUGAUCUUGUUCGUGGAUGGGGGAUGGACAUGACACUCGGCUAUUGUGCAUAGGCUUCACGCCCCGAGGAGUCCAUGAAGCGCAUCUCAAUGAAAAACGAUGGAAGUUUACAAAAGGAGCAAAAAAUUGGCUAAAAGGGGUUGAAUCCAAAGUUUGGAGACUGAACUGCAAAGGGUUAAUAGUUGAUUCAGACCCAAUAUCGAUGAUUACAGAAGUUUCGUUUGAUGAUCAAAGGCAAAUUGAAAGCUAAGCAAUGAGAAUUCUAAAGAUUCAUCGAGGGGAAAAUAAACAUGUCCUUUAUGUUGGUUAGCCUUUAUCUGACCAACUACCUAAUACUGCACGGGAUCAUCAAACAGAGCUUUUUAGAUUUCUUUAGGAUUUGGCCCAAACUGUUUGGAAUAGAAUCAGACAAAAAGCUGUUAGCAAGGUCCCGAGUAGGCUACACAUGAAAUAGAUGACUAAUUUUUUAACUUUUCGAGGAAUCCUUCAUCGGUAGUUGUGGAUGACUAAUUUUUUCAA